UACUGUGUAGUGUAGUGGUUUGAAUGUUGGACUACAACUCUGGAGACCAGGGUUCAAUCCCCAGCUUGGCCA